CCUACGGGAGGCAGCAGUAAGGAAUAUUGGUCAAUGGACGAAAGUCUGAACCAGCCAUGCCGCGUGAAGGAUUAAGGCCCUCUGGGUUGUAAACUUCUUUUAUCUGGGACGAAAAAAGGGUAUUCUUACUCACUUGACGGUACCAGAGGAAUAAGCACCGGCUAACUCCGUGCCAGCAGCCGCGGUAAUACGGAGGGUGCAAGCGUUAUCCGGAUUUACUGGGUUUAAAGGGUGCGUAGGUGGGCUUGUAAGUCAGUGGUGAAAUCUCCGGGCUUAACCCGGAAACUGCCAUUGAUACUAUAGGUCUUGAAUUAUCUGGAGGUAAGCGGAAUAUGUCAUGUAGCGGUGAAAUGCUUAGAUAUGACAUAGAACACCAAUUGCGAAGGCAGCUUACUACGGAUAUAUUGACACUGAGGCACGAAAGCGUGGGGAUCAAACAGGAUUAGAUACCCUGGUAGUCCACGCCCUAAACGAUGGAUACUCGACAUCAGCGAUACACUGUUGGUGUCUGAGCGAAAGCAUUAAGUAUCCCACCUGGGAAGUACGAUCGCAGAUUGAAACUUAAAUGAAUUGACGG
rnacentral:rRNA from 1 species